rnacentral:rRNA from 1 species
AUCUUGGAGAGUUUGAUCCUGGCUCAGGACGAACGCUGGCGGUGUGCUUAACACAUGCAAGUCGAACGAAGAGCGAUGGAAGCUUGCUUCUAUCAAUCUUAGUGGCGAACGGGUGAGUAACGCGUAAUCAACCUGCCCUUCA